CCUGGUGGCUCAGACGGUAAAGCAUCUGCCUGCAAUGCGGGAGACCCGGGUUCGAUUCCUGGGUCAGGA
rfam:TPA: Bos taurus chromosome 5, whole genome shotgun sequence.